rnacentral:rRNA from 1 species
UACAGGGGGGGCAAGCGUUGUUCGGAUUUACUGGGCGUAAAGGGCGCGUAGGCGGCCAGCACAAGUCAGUUGUGAAAUCUCCGAGCUUAACUCGGAAAGGUCAACUGAUACUGUGCGGCUAGAGUGCAGAAGGGGCAACUGGAAUUCUCGGUGUAGCGGUGAAAUGCGUAGAUAUCGAGAGGAACACCUGCGGCGAAGGCGGGUUGCUGGGCUGACACUGACGCUGAGGCGCGAAAGCUAGGGGAGCGAACGGG